rnacentral:tRNA from 1 species
GGGCCGUGGCCAGGUUGGCACGUAAGAAUCGACAAUCUUGCGUUAGGGUUCGAUUCCCUCACGGUCCACCA